rnacentral:lncRNA from 1 species
CCUCUCAAGUGGGGCUCCUGCAACCCGGGUGUUGGCUGUCAGGUGCCAUCAUGCUCAGAGAAAAAUAUAAAACAAGAAGCAGACCUGGUUCAAACCCGUGAACAGUGUGCUGGGAUUUCAGGCUUUACUGUCACUUUGUGACAGAAGGACGCAGCCUACCCGUGGGCACGAGCCUUCCUGAGGAAGACGUGAUGUCUCUCCUCCUGCCACUGGGAUGGCUCAGGGGAACUUCUGUGUGGCCAGGGUUGUGCUGAAUCUCACUGAAAAUAUAGGAGUUUGGACUUCUUUCUCUAGGUCAGAGGUGAGCAAGCUUUUUCUGUAAAGACCCAGAGAGUAAAUACUUUAGGCUUGCAGACCGUUGGCCUGUGUUGCAAAUACUCAGCUUUGCUGUUGUAACUUAAAGGCAGC